rnacentral:misc_RNA from 1 species
GUUAUUAAUCAUGUCCAAAACCUGUUAACACAUUACCAAGUAGUCAGCAUGAUAUAACCAAAGAAAAUGGGAAAGAAAACUUAACAAUUCAAUUCUACAGAUGGUGGCCAUGGAACUUCUCUAUUUAGCUCAAACCACAUUGAGUAACUUUAAUCACAAUAUUUUCCCCUCAUAUGGGUGUCCCAGGGGGCAUAAAUGAACUAAACUGAUCCAACUUUUCAAACGUUCAAACUCAACUCAGUUUGUUUCCUGCCAGGAUCAAACUUGGCUGCUUACUUAUGAAGCCAAGCCCAAACCCGGCUACCUGAAGCCAGCCAAGUGGAACUUUUAUAUAAAUUAUUGAGUUCAGCUCAUUAUUUGGCUAGUCUGUACCCUGUAGGCUUGUGAACUGUGAACUUGUGACCCAGCUUGUACAUAAAUUAAUUUAUAACUUGAUUUUAAAUUA